GAUGAACGCUAGCGGCAGGCCUAGUACAUGCAAGUCGAACGGUAAGGCCCUUCGGGGGUACACGAGUGGCGGACGGGUGCGUAACGCGUAUGCAACAUGCCUUCCAGCGGGGGAUAUACCAGGGAAACUUGGCGCAAUACCCCAUAGAAUUACGGGACCGCAUGGUCUUGUGAUUAAAACUCCGGUGCUGGGAGAUUGGCAUGCGUGACAUUAGCUAGUUGGCGGGGUAACGGCCCACCAAGGCGACGAUGUCUAGCUGGUCUGAGAGGAUGAUCAGCCACACUGGGACUGAGACACGGCCCAGACUCCUACGGGAGGCAGCAGUGGGGAAUCUUGCGCAAUGGGGGCAACCCUGACGCAGCCAUGCCGCGUGAACGAUGAAGGCCUUAGGGUUGUAAAGUUCUUUUACCCGUGACGAUGAUGACGGUAACGGGGGAAUAAGCUCCGGCUAACUUCGUG
rnacentral:rRNA from 1 species